rnacentral:rRNA from 1 species
AGAUUGAACGCUGGCGGCAGGCCUAACACAUGCAAGUCGAGCGGCAGCACGGGUACUUGUACCUGGUGGCGAGCGGCGGACGGGUGAGUAAUGCCCAGGAAUCUGCCUGGUAGUGGGGGAUAACGCUCGGAAACGGACGCUAAUACCGCAUACGUCCUACGGGAGAAAGCAGGGGACCUUCGGGCCUUGCGCUAUCAGAUGAGCCUAGGUCGGAUUAGCUAGUUGGUGAGGUAAUGGCUCACCAAGGCGACGAUCCGUAACUGGUCUGAGAGGAUGAUCAGUCACACUGGAACUGAGACACGGUCCAGACUCCUACGGGAGCAGCAGUGGGGAAUAGUUGGACAAUGGGCGAAAGCC